rnacentral:rRNA from 2 species
AACUAACAAGGAUUCCCCUAGUAACUGCGAGUGAAGCGGGAAAAGCUCAAAUUUAAAAUCUGGCAGUCUUUGGCUGUCCGAGUUGUAAUCUAGAGAAGUAUUAUCCGCGCUGGACCGUGUACAAGUCUCCUGGAAUGGAGCGUCAUAGAGGGUGAGAAUCCCGUCUUUGACACGGACUGCCAGGGCUUUGUGAUGUGCUCUCAAAGAGUCGAGUUGUUUGGGAAUGCAGCUCAAAAUGGGUGGUAAAUUCCAUCUAAAGCUAAAUAUUGGCGAGAGACCGAUAGCGAACAAGUACCGUGAGGGAAAGAUGAAAAGAACUUUGGAAAGAGAGUUAAACAGUACGUGAAAUUGCUGAAAGGGAAACGCUUGAAGUCAGUCGCGUUGGCCAGGGAUCAACCUUGCUUUUUUGCUUGGCUUACUUCCUGGUUGACGGGUCAGCAUCAAUUUUGACUGGUGGAAAAAGUUCAAGGGAAUGUGGCAUCUUCGGAUGUGUUAUAGCCUUUGCUCGCAUACAUCGGUUGGGAUUGAGGAACUCAGCACGCCGCAAGGCCGGGUUUUUAACCACGUACGUGCUUAGGAUGCUGGCAUAAUGGCUUUAAUCGACCCGUCUUGAAACACGGACCAAGGAGUCUAACAUGCCUGCGAGUGUUUGGGUGGAAAACCCGAGCGCGUAAUGAAAGUGAAAGUUGAGAUCCCUGUCGUGGGGAGCAUCGACGCCCGGAUCUGACCUUUUGUGACGAUUCCGCGGUAGAGCAUGUAUGUUGGGACCCGAAAGAUGGUGAACUAUGCCUGAAUAGGGUGAAGCCAGAGGAAACUCUGGUGGAGGCUCGUAGCGAUUCUGACGUGCAAAUCGAUCGUCAAAUUUGGGUAUAGGGGCGAAAGACUAAUCGAACCAUCU